ACCCCCUGGCAGUGGGCAAAGAGAUACUUCAUGGGUAGUGGUGUCUUACAUCAGUCAGUGCCAGAGCAGAUGGAAGUCCUUUGUUCAUCCUAGUUUGAUGUCUGGCUUGGUGGUCAAAACUGUCUUAUGCCUAGAACUCAUAA